GAAAGCAGAAGAAUCAGAACUUCAAGACUAGAAUAGGAAGAUACCCUGGCACCACCAGAGAGCAACUCCAGUUACAGACCACCCUGGAUAAACCUUCCCUAUGUUUCCCUGUUGCUACCAUCUCUUAUCAAACGGACCAGCAAGAAUGAAAAGCUUGCCAGGUAUGGGAGGCCGCAGACAGAGGCGACAUGGAAGGACCAAGAAGUGGGUAGAUUGUGACUUGCAAGAGAGAAUUAUUUUGAACCAAGUCUUGCGUGCUGACAGCAUAAUGAUCAUUAUUAGGGCCUCAGAUAUAACAUGAAGUCCGCCCUAAAGUUAAAUUUUCCCUUUCAGAUAAGCAUGGCCUGUCAGCGUUGUAUAAAAUGGUUCUACGCCAACCUCCUCCAUACCAUGGGAUUGGAAUGUUCCAGCUACUCCCCCACCCUCCGCCCCCAGUUACCAUUCCCAAAGGCCUUUGCUUCUCUCUUACCUUAGUCUUCUAAAAAAAUCAACCUAAGAGAUUGAGUAGUGGUAUGCAUGACUUUAGUCCUAGCACUCAGGAAACAGGCAGGCAGAUCUCUGUGAGUUCGAUGUCAGCCAGGGCUACAGAGUGAGUUCCAGGCCAGCCAGGGCUACACAGAGAAACCCUGUCUCAAAACAAAACAACAACAACACAAGAGAUAAGCAUCACCUAUACUAGUUUCUUCUCAUAGUUAGAUUCAGGUUUUUGGUCUGGAAUCCUGCCACUCCAGGGACCCCGUGGAUUUUGUUUGACUAUUACAGUAUUUUGAAACUUGGUUUUGCUUUGUUUUUGUUUUCCAUUAAAUACUGUUUGCUGGGUUUUGAUGAAAAGAAAAAGAAAAUGGGAGCUGGUGAGAUGGCUCCAUGUGUAAAGAAAGUGUACACAAGCAUGAAGAUGAGUUUGUACCCCACAUGAUGAGCAGAGUGGCAGGCACACAUCAGUAAUUCUAGGCCUCCUACAGUGAGAUGGGAGGCAGAGAUGGAAGCUCAGGGGCCAGCCAGCCUGGUGUGCACAACGAACACCAACAACCCCUGCCUCAAACGAGAUGAAAGAUAGAAGAUAGGGACUGACAAUGGACAUACACACAAACACACACACACACACACACACACACACACACACACACACACACAUGGCAGGGGGCGGGGGGAGGAGAGGAGAGGGAUAUUACAAAACCUGAGUUGGGUGGUAACACUUAGGAGACGAUCAACACAGUCAGCCUGGUCUACAGACUGAGACCAAAGCCAGCUAAUGCUAAAUAGCAAGACCCUAUCUGAAAACCACUAUAACAAAUCAGAGAGCCUGGCUCCCCAAGCCAUGUUCCCCUUGACAAAUUGCUGCUACUUAAAUAGAGCAGUUGCCUCCUUUGCAUAAAGUUUGUUCUCCGGUUUACUGUAGUCCCCUCCACCCCCAGUCAUCUCUCAUCUGCAAGCUAGAAGAAAGUUAAAGCUAAAGGCAGGUAGGGGUCUAUGGACCUCAGCCUCCACCCUGCCACUUAAUUUCCAUGUUCCUCUGAAUAUGAUUUGCCUUUCUGACCUUUAAGGCAGGGUCACAUGUAUCCCAGGCUAGUUUCCAACUCAUUAUGUAGCCAAGGAUGGCCUGAACUCCUGAUCUUCCUGUCUCCACUUCCCCAAUGCUGACAGUUCAUUUUAGCCACCGCAACUGGCUAACUUGUAUUCCUCGUUGCUACAUUUCCAGAGCCUGAUAUAACCCCUGGCACAUGGCUGUUACUCUGCAAACGUGUUGGAUAUGUGGAUUUAAUGUCUCCCUACCUUUACCCUUAGUGUGUCCCAUACUACAUUAUCCUUGGCUUAUUUUUUAAAUAGAA
rnacentral:lncRNA from 1 species